rnacentral:lncRNA from 1 species
CCCAGCCCCAGCCCCAGCCCCAGCCGCAGCCGCAGCAGCAGCAGCAGCAGCAGCAGCAGCUGGCUCAGGAUGAAGUGCCCGGCGAGAGUGCAGGCGCGGAGGACAGCGACGAUCCCGAGGCGAGACCCAACAGCGAGAAAGGAGACAGCAAGUAUUUCAGUGGCAGGAUCCACUCAGGAGAGUUGGGGCAAAGCUGGCUGAGGUUCUCAAGGAGCUGAGUUUUGAGUUCAGGUGCCCACGUGGCAGCGGAAUGAUGCUUCCUGACCUUUCAGACCUUUGAGACCUCUGGGCGGUCUUAGACUUCACCUGGAGCCUCCUGUCCAGGAUGCGACCACCUAGGGGAAUUCCAGGGAAAGGUGACAGAGAUAUCAUGGACUGAAAGGUGAUGGGUACCCCAAUGAGCUCACUACAAGAUCUCAAAGAUUCCAAGCCACUGGCUGCUCCAAAGCAUAAAGCCACCCUUCUGGAGAGGCGGCAGGAAGGAAGCCUGGAGGAGGCUCCACUUUUGGCCAGAGGACAGACCACCUUCUUAGGUCUCUGGGAGAACUGCUGAAGGACAGUGAGGGAGAUGUUGCUGGUCCCCAGGACAGAAACCCAGCAGCUGGCACCAAGAAGCACCUGGAGUGGGACUCAAGCCCAGCACCCCUUCAGACUGAAGCUCUCUGAGCUGCGUGUGGUUCCCGACUGGACUGUUUUUGCUUUGCCGUCACCUGCAUAACACAGUUCUGGAUGCUUUUGAAUGGUUGGCUUUGUUUCCUUUUUUUCCCCCCUCUGUCUUUUCUUUUUUCUUCUCUUGGCCCUGAGAAUUGUAAGAAAAGAAUUGCUUUAGAAAGUAUAAUUCUGUUGCUGAAAUUAGCCUUGUUUAUGAACAAAUUCUGUCCCUAAGGAUUUUCUGAAUUGCAAUCCCAGGUUACUUGGUAGAUGGGGCUGCAUGAUUUGAUUUGUGUAGUACUGAUCCUUAGAUUAUAAAUACAUUUUCUUUCUUUGUUUCUUUGUUUCUUUCUUUCUUUCUUUCUUUCUUUCUUUCUCUUCUCUUCUCUUCUCUUCUCUUCUCUUCUCUUCUCUUCUCUUCUCUUCUCUUUCCUUCUUUUCUUUCAAGUUUUGGAUCCAGGUAAUGGCCCGAGUCACAUUUGCUUAGCUACUGAAGCGAUCUCAAUGUGGUAUCGCUUGGAGUUGAAAUAUAAUCAAACAUAUAUUAUACCUGGGGCUCUUGCACGCUAUAUGAUAUAUAUGUUAUGCUACAAAGAAACACAAACCUUGUAGGUUGAAAUUUAAUUCCUGUCUGAUCCUGCAGUUAGAAUGGUGGAAAAAUUAUAAAUAUCAAAAGCGGCUUCAGACACCCUGAAUGUACGCUAACCAACAAUAAGUGGACCGUUUGGAAAUGCCCUUUUCCAAGGCAAAGCAGGAAUUGGAGACCAGCUGACCUUGUCAACAGGGUUGCUCAGGUCUGUCUGUCUGUGGAUCUGCUCAUUUUGGAGGAAUCCGAGGACAAGGCCUGCUUCUGUGUUUGGGUUUACGGAAAUUGUGGCGUCUCUGACUGAAUGCUCUGUAACUGUGCCUGCCUUGCAAUAAAACACCUUUGGUUGACUCA